rnacentral:rRNA from 2 species
CGCCCAUACCGGGCCCGGUGAUGCUGACCGCCCAAACCUGUCCACCGGCCCUUCGGGGCCACCGGACAGGGGCGCGCGGGACCCAAACCGGUAGUAGGUAAGCGUAUUAACA